ensembl:lncRNA
UCCAUAUUCCGCUGUUUGCUUGGUCACGGCCGUCGAGAGGGGAGGAGCGCCAGCCGGAUCGCGACCGUUUGUCCCGAGCCUUCAAGGAAUAUCGAUUGGAACGUGAACGCGUGCACACACACGCCGUGCACACACACCCCGUGCACACACACGGCCCAUAAGCGGCCACAAAAGGCAGAGCUGCGCGCACAAGCGGGAGAGUUUGCACGGAGAUCCGGGUGAUGGAUGGACGGAGAGGCCUGCAGAUCUAAAAAGGAUGACAGUGUGUUUGGUUUUGCUGACUACCAGUCAGCGUGAGCGAUAUUCAUAUCACGGAGAUAUCUGACUGGCCCACGGCCAACUACCUGGCAGCUAUCAGCUCAGGUAGCCAGUGGGAACGGCUUCCCUCAACUUGAUGGCUGUCAAAUAAGGUCAUGUAUCGGUACUGGUAUCGCUUUAAGGGGUGCUGGAAUCCGAACCUUUUAAACACUAUCCAGCCAUUCUGAUGAUGAGUGAGACAAACAACCUCUACAGGAGGUUCAUCGUGCAAGUGACAAACCUUCGUUUGAUGCGGUUAAAUUUGAAGAAACCCAGGGAUGAUGCAGAAGGGGAGAAGCGUGAUUUGUGGUGUUACUUGUCUAAAUCCACCAGUGUCAUUUCUCUUGGAUCCUUGGAGGUUUUAAGGGGACCACGGCGGAUUUCCGCAACCAACCUUUGAGAAGAAGUCCAGGGCUUCCGUCUGCUCUGCGUUCAACGAUACUAUGAUGAGGAAGUGAAACAGUGAUCACUCAAAGCCGAAGUCUCACGGCCACAGAUGCAUUUAAUGUGUUUUUCUUCAUGAGGAAAUAAGAUAUACGCCACUUCUUAAUAUGCUUUAGUUUAAUAUUUUGUUCAUCAGACAAGCGUCAUCCCUCUUUCCCAACCGAGCCCCAAACCGAGUGAGAGAAAACAAGAACGAAACAAAAAAACAGAAAUUCCUCAUUUACGUGAGAUGUUUCAAACCAAACUCAGAACACCAAACAAAGCAACAAAGAAAGUUCCUUCUCAUGCAGCUCAAACUCCACAGCUCUGAAAGUAAAACCCAAUGUGGCUGAAGAAUUAAAGAACUGAAUAUUAGACGUGUUGCAGAAAUGGGUUGAAGCACGUGAGUAAUGAGAAAACGCCGGGAGAAUCUAACAUGAAGCAACAAAAAACUAGCAACGCGACUUGUUUUGAUGACUUGUGAUCACAUGAAAAGUCUGGAUGUGAUUCUGUAUUCGGGACACGUAGAUUCAAACCAUGAAGAUACUUGACCAUAAUCGGUAAUUGUAUAUAUUUAAGUUAAAUGUCUUUGACAUGUGAUGCGGAAGCCUCGCUGUGUGUGGGCAGCGUGUGCAUCAGGAAGGUGCAAAGUUUCAUUUGCUUUAUUUGAAUGUCUGAGAGAGAGAGAGAGAGAGAGAGA